CGACAUGGGCACGUGAGGUUUAUAGAAGUAUACGUGAUUCAUAAAUUUUGAAAGCAUUUAAAUGCUAUUUGAUUGGAUGUAAUUAGAAAUAUAAUUUAGUUAAAGAUACAAAUAAUUGAAAACAUAGUAGUUAUAACUAUAUGCUUUUUGUUUGGUUGGAUGUAUUGGAGAGUAUUGUAAAUAUAAAUAAUUUGUUUAAAAGUGUAUUUUAAAAAUUUAUCACUUUAUAUAUAUAGUGGUGAGAUUACUUCUAAUGAAGAAUAGAAUAAACUUUUUGUUUAAAAAAUAAUUAGGGAGGUAAGUUUACUUUUUGUUUAAAAUUUCUCUCUUCAACUAUUGUAGUUGGAGCUGUGGCCAAUUUGCAUAAUUCAAACUGCUGCAGUUAGGCCUCUUGAUGUAGUUUUAAUUGUAGUUGUUACGCUCAAAUGAAACAAUCUAUAUAAUUAAAUUUUGAAAGGUUAAAUAGUGAAAACAAAGUUUUUGAAAAGUUGGAUAGCUAAUUCAAAAUGGUUCAUAGUGUGAGAAAGUUCUAUGUGCAUACUUUCAUUUUAGUAUCAAACUUCAAUACCAUAUUUAUAGUCUAAGAAGCGAUCAACUUCAUAUUUAAAUAUUUUAAAAUAUCCAAAUCAUGAUUAGUUGACUUUUAAUUAUAACAAUUAGACAUUUUAAAAUUUUUUAGAUAGUUUAACAAAUUAUUUUCUCGAAUGAAAUUACUAAUUGAAUAAAAUCGAUGAAUGCUGAACUCUGUCUUAUUCUGAAAAAAGAAUAAAAUAUAAAAAAGAUAAAUUAUACUUUUGGUUCUCAAACUAUGAGACACGUGACAUUUUAGUUCGCGAACUUUAAUGCAUUAUAAUUUCUGGAUCAAUUAUGAGAGACGUUACACUUUAGUCCUUAAACUUUAACAAGUUGUAAUUUUUGGCUUGUACAAUGAGGCACAUGACAUGUUAGUUCUCAACUUUUACUGCUAUUAUAGAUAUAAUUUAUUAUUUUUAUAUUUUUCUUAUUUUUUUAUAUCCUUCUUAUAUUUUUAUUUUUAUAUUUUUUAUUGCAGCAGUUGCUUUUUCUUUUUAGUUUC
rnacentral:lncRNA from 1 species